GGUUUUCCUUCUAGUCAUUUUGCUCAGUGCAGAGUGGCCAAAAGCAAGUUGUAUUGGGAAAAAGAGAAAAAGAGAGGAGAGAAAGAAGGAAAGAAAAGAGAAAGAGAAAAAAAAAAGGGAAGAAAAAGAAAACGGAAAAAAAAGAAGAAAAAGAGAAAGAAAAAGAAAGGAGAAAAAAAAGGGGUGGGGGAAGGAAACAAAUCAAAAAGCAAAACAAAACAAAACAAAAAAAAAAAAAAAAAAAGAACCACCGGGGAGUAUCUUCUGAUUCUGUGUACUUUAAGUCCCUUGGCUUCUCCUGGAAGUUGUCAGUCUAGCUGGUGUUUUGGGGGAGGGGCCUGUUGUGCUGAUUUUCAGGUGUUAGCAGUUGGGGGAGCUGCUGUGCCCCUGCCUGGUGCAGGGCUCAGUGGGGGUUGUUUACUCCGUGAGGCCGCAGGAGGAGCAGCCCCAGUGGCGGGGCCAGGUCUGGAAACCUGGAUUCAGCUCCGGCAGGAACUCCGUCUGCAGGGCCUGGAGGCUCUGGGGCGGGGCCUGAUCUGCUCAGCUCGGGGGCAGGAGCGUCCUUGCUGUCCUGAGCCCUCCCGGCCUCUGCCUGUCCCGGGGGAGGCCGGAUCCUGGGCUGUGUCCCGGCGCCCUGUGCUCCGGAGCCUGCGCUGUUGGAUUCGCGCUCCCGGACCAAGCAGCCCCCUCCGCGGAGCCGCCGCCCUCCCCCCUCCGAGCUGCUCCGGUCCCGCCGCGUGCGCUGCAGCCCUUAGGGAGCUCGGCGCACUCUCCUGGGCGCGCAGUUGCUCUGUUACUGUCCCGGGGAGCCCGAGGGCAUCCCCGCCCUCCUGGGUCCUGCUCCAACUCCCUGGAGCCCCUUUCCGCCCGGGAAGGUUGGUGCAGCUCCUGCUUCUCCCGGAGGGGGCUCUCCUGUCCUGGGGACACUCGCCCCGGCCUCAGCCCGGCUCCUCGCGGGGCCCCUCCCCCUUGGAGGCCUUUGUUUCUUUACUUCUUUUUCCCCGUCUUCUUACCUUGAUAGAAGCGCGAACUCUUCUCACUGUUGCAUUCCAGCUGGUCUCUCUUUAA
rnacentral:lncRNA from 12 species